ensembl:lncRNA
UGUUAAACUCAUGAUAAACACAAGAUAUCAGGUCUAGUCUUUGCUCACAAAGCCUCAUGAAUCCUGAGGAGUAGCCACAUCUUUUUGGAGCUGCCUCUGAACUGUCCUCAUCAGGAUGCUGACCAAGGGCUUGAUGUGCUGACUCUUGAAAACCAGGGCUGGGAAAGUGACAACAGUAAGACAGAGGAAGAGAAAGCCCCUCACUCAUACCCUCACUCAGCAGCAAUAAUCUGGCAUUUAUCCAUGAACAAAAGUGCCUUUGUGUGAGUUUUGGGAUCCAGGCUGGAGAUGAUGAAACCUCAAGCAGUCCAAGAGCUUUUUGAGAAUACAGGGCCAGGUAGCUGACUCUCUGACUGUGCUCUUGACUACAGACCCAGACACAGCUCCAUUCCCCUGAGGACUCAGCUACAGUCUGUUAGUCCUUUGUUCUGCCUUCAACACUAUAUGCCAAGAAGCCUGGAAGAAGUCACAUACACCUGUACAUUGACUAAAAGAACCACAAUCUCAUCUGAAGUGGCCAAUAAUCUGGCUCUGCCAGCCACACAGCAAGAUCAAGAAGGAUUUAUCCCUGGGAUGCAAUGAUGGUUCAACAUACGCAAUCUGGCUCAUCUUGAUCCAUGCCACUCCCCCUUAAGAGAUGGAAUCAAACUCCACUUCCUGUGAACUGAAGAUGGUGGCAGGGGAGCAGGACUUCCCUUUGUCCUGAACUGGCUGAUGAUAGGCAGAAGAAGGGUCCCCCAGAGAUGCCCACAGCCCAAUAUCCAGAGCCUGUGAAUGUGUCUCCUUACGUAGCAAGAGGGGAUUAAGAAUAAAGAUGGAUUGAAGAUGGUCAAACAGUUUUUAAGAGAGAUUAUCCUGGAUCACCUGGGUGUGCCUAGCA